rnacentral:rRNA from 1 species
UGGGGAAUAUUGGACAAUGGGCGCAAGCCUGAUCCAGCCAUGCCGCGUGAGUGAUGAAGGCCUUAGGGUUGUAAAGCUCUUUCAGUGGGGAGACUGGGCUAAUACCCUGGGCGGAAGAUGUUACCCACAGAAGAAGCACCGGCUAACUCU